GGUUGAUUUUCUGGCAUUUUAUAAUCAAGCCAUUAUUUAGGUGUAAUUGCUGGUUACGGCCCUGUUACCAGUGUACGUAUGCAGUCAGCUCAGACAUGUAACUGCACACAAGUACAUGUAAGAGGAACAAAAAUACAGAUACAAUAUCCUGUAGAAAAAUGUGUAAAGAUAUAAACUACCGUAUAAAAAAUAACACUUAAAGUAAACACAACCCUAAAUACGGCGCUCCUUUCCCUAAAUGCCAAUGCACUGUUUUAUUAGAUAAGGAUAAUUUUUUUUUUUUGUAUUUUAGUCUGCAUUGCAUUUUAAGCUGUUUUGUGCAAAGGUUGACAACAAUCUAACUUUUCUUUUUAUUCAUUUGUUUGUGUGGAGGUUUAUACUCUCCUAAAGUUUAACGUAAGAGCGCGUUAACAGCUUGAGAGAUGCAGUGACAGCAUUUGCUUCUUCUCACCUACAAAACAAAACCAACAAACACAAAUAAAACGACAUCUAAACAAAGGACGCAAUAAGAUGCUGCAGUUUCGUUAUUCGCCAGACGGUGGCAGCAGUCACCGCGUUCCUACUGACAGACAUGCUCGUUUACUGUUUAUCCUCUAAUUUAAAUGAGCAGCUAUGGAUGCAGAAAUGAGCACAGAUUUAACGCUAUGGUUCCAGUGUGUAAAUCCAAAACAGUUAUAAUGAGGGUGACAGGCUGCGUAUCCAGAUGCUGCACCCGAUCACAGAAGAAAAUGACAAAGAAGGAGGCCACUUCUACUACAAGCAAGACAGGAGACCCCGUCUAACACCUGCCCGUCCCGAACAGCUUAUCCAGAUGCUGGAAGACGUGAUGCCGAGCAGCCAAGCAAAACAAAGAUGUCUCCCCACAUAAUUGCUGUUUGGAUAGACUGCUCCCUGCAGCUGUACACGGAACUGGCUGGAAUAUGCACGGUAUUAAUUAAUGCACUUAUUCUGCCAUUUCAAUUCUAUAAAGAAUGUUUAUUUUGCGUUCAGGUGAAUCUAUCACGCAUUGAUCUGGCAGCUGUCGCUACCAAACCAUGUUGAAGGUCCACCGGCCUUUCAUCAUUCACUCUCGUGAGCAGCUUCGGUCACUGUCCAAGUCAACAACAUGCAUCGUUUAUUGUCACCAAAUUAAACACUCUGCACGUGUGGCUUCUGUGCUGCAGCUUCAUCCACUCAGACAAGUUUCGUUCGGGUCCAGAAGGAACUUUUUAGGCUGCAGAACGUAUUG